CAUCGGCUGCGGUCCGUCCGACGUGCACAGUGGGCGAUCGGAAAACUGAAACUCAAACCCCGACUCCGCACGUCCAAACGCAUGACCGAGAAGUGAAACCACAGUGGCUGAAAAAAUUAAGCGUGGCUUGCCAAGGGAUUAAAAGGAAAAUGAGUAGCUCUGAGGAGGUAUCAUGGAUUUCCUGGUUUUGCGGACUGCGCGGUAAUGAAUUCUUCUGUGAGGUGGACGAAGAUUACAUACAGGACAAAUUUAACCUGACCGGACUGAACGAACAGGUACCGAACUAUCGUCAUGCGUUGGACAUGAUUCUGGACCUGGAGCCGGAGGAUGAAAUUGACGAUAAUCCCAACCAGUCGGAUCUGAUCGAACAAGCAGCGGAGAUGCUUUACGGUUUGAUACACGCUAGAUACAUUCUUACCAACCGUGGCAUAGCUCAAAUGAUAGAAAAAUAUCAAAGUGGUGACUUUGGCCACUGCCCACGCGUUUACUGCGAGAGUCAACCAAUGCUUCCACUAGGUCUGUCUGAUGUUCCCGGUGAGGCAAUGGUAAAGUCUUACUGUCCCAAAUGCAUCGACGUUUACACACCAAAGUCCUCUAGACAUCAUCAUACCGAUGGCGCAUACUUCGGAACUGGAUUCCCGCACAUGCUGUUCAUGGUACACCCAGAGUACCGUCCCAAACGUCCCGCAAAUCAAUUCAUACCACGUCUCUACGGUUUUAAGAUCCACUCCUUAGCGUAUCAAAUCCAACUGCAGGCAGCAGCGAACUUUAAGGCACCGCUACGAGGGGUAAAUGGAAAUCGUGAUGUAUUACCGAAAGUCUAACUAAUAAUGCCAGCUCAGUAGUAUGAGUCUGUGUCUAUUUCACAUUGCCUACCUAUGCAGGAAUGUGCUUUCUUUUUCGUAAUCGGUGAUGGGGAAUAAUUUAAAUUUUCGGAAAACUGGUUCUAUAACUAUUUUAGCAAUUGACGGAUUAAUAUGAUUUUUUUGGAAUACUACAAAUUUUUUUUUGUCCUUUGGCUUAAUAAUGUAGAAUGCCCAUUUUGCUUCCAGCUACUGAAUCAUCUGGAAUUAUGUUUGAAGUACAGGAAUUUGAUGGAUUUACUUAAUCAGUUACUGGUUUAAUUUUUGAAUUCUUCAAUCCUUGCUAUUAUUCUGCUCUACAUCUAUCAUCCGACGAUUGGCAAUGCAAUGCCCUCCCUUUGCUUCUUAGAUGUAAUUCUUCUCUCCAAUGUGUCCUUACUAUAUCUCAUUGUUGUUAGAGUUUCAAUAAAAUCCCGGACACCAAAUAACCAUUGCUCAAACGCUAUCUGAAACCACUUGGGUCCCUAUUGGUGAUGAGAAUAACCACUCAGUACUGGAAUCUUAUGCUCACUCUUUAAGAGUUAUAAAUCUCGAGAAAUGAUUUAACUCCCCGUGCCGAGUAACCACCACAAGAUACAAGUAAUACAGUCAUGCUUGACUCAAUUUGCACAUCGCCAGUUGAUCCUUCUUCUUUGGAACUCUCUUUGGCACAACGGGUAGAGAAGAUCAGGCUGAUCAUGGCGGGGAGUACAUUAUCCUGUUUCCCAUGCAAUCAGCUGUCCUCGUGUGUUAAAUAAGGCUCAGCAUACAUGAUACAUGAACGCCUGCAAAUCUUCAACACCGUAUAUGGAUGGCAGAUGGGAAGCCAGUUGAAAAGCAGCGUUCAUCGCUUGGAAAUCGACUAACCCAAACUAAAUGUGUCCCCCUAAUCGUUCAUUAUCCCUUGUUAAUCUUCUAUAUGAUAAAAUGGUUACUCUCAUACUAAACCCUUCAUCCCUUUUCUUCCCUAUCUUUUGUGUCGUGCGUUGUGCCCCUUCGCGUGAAUAAUCCCACCCACGAACUGCUGUGCUGUGCUACAUCACCUUGCAAAACAAAACUGAAGAGCUCGGCGAAGGGCAUCGAUAACUGAACCGCAAGCCGCCGAGACUAUAUCGAGAAGAUAGUUUGAGGCCACCCUGCCCCCCCCCGAUAUAGGAUCAACUCACACACUCCCCCUCUCUCUCUCACAUCAAGCGACGUGCGUGUGGGUGUGUGUGCGUGCGUGCGUGUGUGUACGAAUGUAUGUCCCGCCCACCCAGCCCCUCCCCCGAGCAGUGAACGCACGCGCAGCACGCACGCAAAGCGUCGUUCAAUAAUGAUUGUUUUGUUUUUAGUUUUUAGACCGUUGAUUUCCUUUCGAUUCGCGUCUUUUGCUGGCCAAUGCAGCCCCAUUUUCCAUUCCCCCCACCCCCCUACCGUCGUACCCCGUUAGUGCAGGUGUGUGUGUGUGUGGUUAGUGAAGGAAGAGGAAGGCAGAUCCACUUGGAUAGUUACUAGUACAGGCGUAAGCACGCACGAUAACUGUGUGCAAUGCGCUGGCUGGCUGGGAAUCGUAAGGAGAAUAAAUACGCACGCACGUACGCAAACACAAACACAACACACAAACAGCACCGGAUAGGCAGGAUAAGGAUAAGACAUGAUGGAAGAACAAUUACAAUAAUCGAUGUAGAAAAAAUAGGGUGGGAGGAGGGGGUGGGGGUAGGUCAGAGAAAGAGAGAGAAAGGGAGAGGAUAAGGAUGAGGAAGGUGAUGAAUAAUGAACAACAAUUGUCGUGUACCACUCUUCGAACCUCGGUGUACUGGGCAUAUCUUUUCUUGAUCCCCGAAACGUUCCCGUUGUGUGCUUGUGUGAACAAGGCGAGCAGCCUUGAAGACACGGAAGCCAGUAAGCUUGAAAAGCGUCCUUGUUUUUUGUUAGUCCAGGAGAGCAUCGUAUCGUAUAGCUUGAGUUUUUCCUCCUCUAGAGAAAACCCAUCCCGCGACGGAGUGGGGUUCAAUGCAAGUAAUUUAUUGCUCAUUGCUUUCCAAUCCCUUUGCUACGCCCCAUUUCUUGUGGGCCGAAGAUUCUUUCUUCUCUUAAAAAAAGUCUCUUAAAUAGUUUCUCUAUUGAGUAUCGAUUUUUUUCCACCACCACGAAGAUUAUUGAAUCAAGCUCCCCCCCAUCCAUAUAAUGCCCGCGUCCACAGCGUUGAAGAGUUCAAAUUAGCCGCGAGCCCAGCAGGAGGGUAAAACAGAAGAUGAAACAAAUAAAGUAAAAGAACAAUAACCACAUUGACGAAAAAACAAAAAUUACACACACACACACAGAGAAAAGAAAACAAUGUAGCGAAAAGAAAACAUUGGAGGCCAGGUGUAGAAGGAGCCAUAAGAAAAUUUCCCCAGCAUCAUCAUUUAACGGAGUGUGCAAAGCAUUCAUUAAGAACCAAACACCCUCCCAUCAUCAUCCCCUGUAAACUCAGCCACACACAUUGCUCGUAUGUGUGUGUUUGUGUGUUGAUGUCGCAUGUCUCCACGGAACCCAGCAGAACCACGGAGGAGUGCGGAGUGUAGGCUUAGGUAAUAUAAUAUUUUUAAUCAUUUUAGUUAUUCCUUCGCAUCAAACGAGAGAGAGAGAUAGAGAGAGUAAACAACAGAAAGCAACACCUUUUUCUGCACGAUAAAACAACAUAUUUAUCUGUUUUUUUGUUUGUUAAACUUUGUGUUGUGAAGGCGCAGGAUGAAGAUUGUUCUAGUUUUCUAUGCUCACUAUUGCGCCCCUUCCUUUCGAAUCGAUCGUACGAUGACGAAGCCGACGAUGGUUGCUGCGAGGGUAACUGUCUCAAGAACUCACUCGUUUGCUUAGGUGAGUCCUUUGCCUUUGUUUCGCUACUUGUUCCCAAACAAAACUCAGACACACACACACACACCUACCUUAGGGCAUUUUUGUUUUUUUUUUCGUACACUUUGGUACACUAGAAAGAGAGGGAGAGGGUGAGAGAGAGAUACAACAUUCUAUACUACGUUCGAUCCUUUUAUUUACAUUAAUAUCUAAUUAGAAGCAAAUGGCCUGUUUGUUUGCAAAUUUAUACGCAUCAAUGCAAAAGCAAACGAGCAGAGGCAGGCGAAAGAAAGCAAAAAGGAACGCACCGUAUAGGAGGAACUAUUAUUUCGCCGCCUCCCCCCACUUUUCCGAGUGGGAGAGGAGGAAAAACUAAACUAUAAUAAUAUUAAUAAUGAUAAAAGAAACUUCAUUGCUAGUAAACGAAAGCGCCGAAGAAGAAGAGGAAGCAGAAAUGGAACGUAAGUGUAAAACAGACAGUGGAGAAGGAGAAGCGGGAGGGUUAAAGGAAAUACAAGAAAAACGUUUCAUUAACAACAACAACAAACUGCAAACAAUUGAACAACAACAACAGGCAACAAAUAAAACCUCCAACAUUGCGUUCUCAUAGCAAAACAAACAAACAACAACACAAGAAGAAGAAAAUCUUAUAAAAGAGAAACAUCAUACAACAACGUGGGCAACAAAUUGCCACAAACCCACACACACACACACACGCGCGCGCAACCCAGGACACGGCUUUGCUUACCUUUGCUCGAGCGUCGGUCGUAGUGUUGUAGAACGUGAAACACAAUGAUGAAGAAGAAGAAGUAGAAGAGUAACACUUAUAAACGGAAUAUAUAUAAAAAACUUAUUAUAUAUAUACAAAACAUACAUUAUAUAGAAGAAUCUAUUGAUUAAUAAUAAUUAUUAAUUAACAGAUCGUGCGAGCAGUAAAGUGUAAAACAAA